rnacentral:rRNA from 1 species
UACGUAGGGACCGAGCGUUAUCCGGAUUCAUUGGGCGUAAAGAGCUCGUAGGCGGCUAUUCAAGUCGAACGUGAAAUCUCGGGGCUCAACUCCGAGCCUGCGUUCGAUACUGGGUAGCUAGAGUCUGGUAGGGGGAUCUGGAAUUCCUGGUGUAGCGGUGGAAUGCGCAGAUAUCAGGAGGAACACCGGUGGCGAAGGCGGGAUCCUGCGCCAGUACUGACGCUGAGGAGCGAAAGCGUGGGGAGCAAACAGG